rnacentral:rRNA from 2 species
GGGCAACCUGCCUGUAAGACUGGGAUAACUUCGGGAAACCGGAGCUAAUACCGGAUAAUCCUUUUCUACUCAUGUAGAAAAGCUGAAAGACGGUUUACGCUGUCACUUACAGAUGGGCCCGCGGCGCAUUAGCUAGUUGGUGAGGUAACGGCUCACCAAGGCGACGAUGCGUAGCCGACCUGAGAGGGUGAUCGGCCACACUGGGACUGAGACACGGCCCAGACUCCUACGGGAGGCAGCAGUAGGGAAUCUUCCGCAAUGGACGAAAGUCUGACGGAGCAACGCCGCGUGAGUGAUGAAGGUUUUCGGAUCGUAAAACUCUGUUGUUAGGGAAGAACAAGUACGAGAGUAACUGCUCGUACCUUGACGGUACCUAACCAGAAAGCCACGGCUAACUACGUGCCAGCAGCCGCGGUAAUACGUAGGUGGCAAGCGUUGUCCGGAAUUAUUGGGCGUAAAGCGCGCGCAGGCGGUCCUUUAAGUCUGAUGUGAAAGCCCACGGCUCAACCGUGGAGGGUCAUUGGAAACUGGGGGACUUGAGUGCAGAAGAGAAGAGUGGAAUUCCACGUGUAGCGGUGAAAUGCGUAGAGAUGUGGAGGAACACCAGUGGCGAAGGCGACUACUUAUGGUCUGUAACUGACGCUGAGGCGCGAAAGCGUGGGGAGCAAACAGGA